GAUCGGCCACACUGGCAACUGAGACACGGUCCAGACUCCUACGGGAGGCAGCAGUAGGGAAUCUUCCGCAAUGGGCGAAAGCUUGACGGAGCAACGCCGCGUGAGUGUAUGAAGGUCUUCGGAUCGUAAAACUCUGUUAUUAGGGAAGUACUAUAUGUGUAAGUAACUAUGCACGUCUUGACGGUACCUAAUCAGGAUAGCCUACGGCUAACUACGUGCCAGCAGCCGCGGUAAUACGUAGGUGGCAAGCGUUAUCCGGAAUUAUUGGGCGUAAAGCGCGCGUAGGCGGUUUUUUAAGUCUGAUGUGAUAAGCCCACGGCUCAACCGUGGAGGGUCAUUGGAAACUGGAAAACUUGAGCGCUAGAAGAGGAAAGUGGAAUUCCAUGUGUAGCAGGUGAAAUGCGCAGAGAUAUGGAGGUACACCAGUGGCGAAGGCGACUUUCUGGUCUGUAACUGACGCUGAUGUGCGAAAGCGUGGGGAUCAUACAGGAUUAGAUACCCUGGUAGUCCACGCCGUAAACGAUGAGUGCUAUAGUGUUAGGGGGUUUCCAGCCCCAUUAGUGCGUGCAGCUAACCGCAUUAAGCACUCCGCCUGGGGAGU
rnacentral:rRNA from 1 species